rfam:Gossypium hirsutum cultivar TM-1 unplaced genomic scaffold scaffold4672.1, whole genome shotgun sequence
AGGUGUGAUCAUACCAGUAGUAAUGCACAAGAUCCCAUCAGAACUCCGUAGUUAAGCGUGCUUAUGGGAUAGCAGUACUAUGAUGGGUGACCUUCCGGGAAAACCUCGGGUUGCACCUC